rnacentral:rRNA from 1 species
UACGUAGGGUGCGAGCGUUAAUCGGAAUUACUGGGCGUAAAGCGCACGUAGGCGGCUUUGUAAGUUAGAGGUGAAAGCCUGGUGCUCAACACCAGAACUGCCUUUAAGACUGCAUCGCUAGAAUUGUGGAGAGGUAAGUGGAAUUCCGAGUGUAGAGGUGAAAUUCGUAGAUAUUCGGAAGAACACCAGUGGCGAAGGCGACUUACUGGACACAUAUUGACGCUGAGGUGCGAAAGCGUGGGGAGCAAACAGG